CCUACGGGAGGCAGCAGUGAGGAAUAUUGGUCCAUGGACGAGAGUCUGAACCAGCCAAGUAGCGUGAAUGAUGACUGCCCUAUGGGUUGUAAACUUCUUUUAUAUGGGAGUACAAUGUUCUACGUGUGUGAUUUUGUAUGUACCAUAUGAAUAAGGAUCGGCUAACUCCGUGCCAGCCGCCGCGGUAAUACGGAGGAUCCUAGCGUUAUCCGGAUUUAUUUGGUUUAAAGGGAGCGUAGGUGGAUUGUUAAGUCCGUUGUGAAAGUUUGCGGCUCAACCGAAAAAUUGCAGUUGAAACUGGCAGUCUUGAGUACAGUAGAGGUGGGCGGAAUUCGUGGUGUAGCGGUGAAAUGCUUAGAUAUCACGAAGAACUCCGAUGGCGAAGGCAGCUCACUGGACUGCAACUGACACUGAGGCUCGAAAGUGUGGGUAUCAAACAGGAUUAGAUACCCCAGUAGUC
rnacentral:rRNA from 1 species